rnacentral:tRNA from 1 species
GCCUGAGUAGCUCAGUCAGUUAAGCAUCUGACUUUGGCUCAGGUCAUGACCUCACGGUUUGUGAGUUCGAGCCCUGCAUCAGGCU